GCUGGGGUGGCGGAGUGGACAAUCGCUCCAGACUGUAAAUCUGGCGCCGCAAGGCUGCGCAGGUUCGAAUCCUGCCCCCAGCA
rnacentral:tRNA from 1 species